rnacentral:rRNA from 1 species
UACGUAGGGCGCAAGCGUUAUCCGGAAUUAUUGGGCGUAAAGAGCUCGUAGGCGGUUUGUCGCGUCUGCCGUGAAAAUCCGGGGCUCAACCCCGGACUUGCAGUGGGUACGGGCAGACUAGAGUGUGGUAGGGGAGACUGGAAUUCCUGGUGUAGCGGUGAAAUGCGCAGAUAUCAGGAGGAACACCGAUGGCGAAGGCAGGUCUCUGGGCAUUAACUGACGCUGAGGAGCGAAAGCAUGGGGAGCGAACAGG